rnacentral:ncRNA from 2 species
AAAUAUUGCUAGAGGUGCCUUGUGGCUGAGAGGGAUUUUAUAAAUCCUAACUCUUAUAACCUGAUAUGGAUAAUACCAGCGUAGGGAAGCAUGAUAAUAUAAUU